rnacentral:tRNA from 1 species
AAAAACUUAGUUAAAUAAUAAUACUAGCUAGUCAAGCUUGAGUUAAUCAAAAUUAGUUUUUA